rnacentral:rRNA from 1 species
AAUCGCAGAGAUGGCUUGGUGCUCGAAAGAGACCGUAACACAGGUGCUGCAUGGCUGCUCGCCAUCUCGUGUCGUGAGAUGUUGGGUUAAGUCCCGCAACGAGCGCAACCCUUGUCAUUAGUUGCUACAUUUGGUUGGGCACUCUAAUGAGACUGCCGGUGACAAACCGGAGGAAGGUGGGGAUGACGUCAAGUCCUCAUGGCCCUUAUAGGUAGGGCUACACACGUCAUACAAUGGAUGGUACAGAGGGUCGCCAACCCGCGAGGGGGAGCUAAUCCCAUAAAACCAUUCGUAGUCCGGAUCGCAGUCUGCAACUCGACUGCGUGAAGUCGGAAUCGCUAGUAAUCGCGGAUCAGAAUGUCGCGGUGAAUACGUUCCCGGGUCUUGUACACACCGCCCGUCACACCAUGGGAGCGGGUUCUGCCAGAAGUAGUUAGCCUAACCGCAAGGAGGGCGAUUACCACGGCAGGGUUCGUGACUGGGGUGAAG